rnacentral:rRNA from 1 species
UGCAAGUCGAGCGGGGGAAAAGUAGCUUGCUACUGGACCUAGCGGCGGACGGGUGAGUAAUGCUUAGGAAUCUGCCUAUUAGUGGGGGACAACAUUCCGAAAGGAAUGCUAAUACCGCAUACGUCCUACGGGAGAAAGCAGGGGACCUUCGGGCCUUGCGCUAAUAGAUGAGCCUAAGUCGGAUUAGCUAGUUGGUGGGGUAAAGGCCUACCAAGGCGACGAUCUGUAGCGGGUCUGAGAGGAUGAUCCGCCACACUGGGACUGAGACACGGCCCAGACUCCUACGGGAGGCAGCAGUGGGGAAUAUUGGACAAUGGGGGGAACCCUGAUCCAGCCAUGCCGCGUGUGUGAAGAAGGCCUUAUGGUUGUAAAGCACUUUAAGCGAGGAGGAGGCUACUAGUAUUAAUACUACUGGAUAGUGGACGUUACUCGCAGAAUAAGCACCGGCUAACUCUGUGCCAGCAGCCGCGGUAAU